GCCAUUGUGGUGUAGUGGUUUGAAUACUAGAAUACAACUCUGGAGAUCCGGGUUCAAUUCUCCACUCAGCCA